AGGAGUCUCGGUAAUGGACAGGAAGCUGGGCACUGGCCUUGAUUCUUUUGUUUUUAUGGAGCAGAGACCGUGGGUUUGGUGACAUCACAUCACACAAGUUGAAAAAUACAUCCCAAACACCCCCCCAUUCCCUACAUAGUGCACAACCAGAGCCAGUUUAGUGUGGGGGUUAGGGCACUACCUAGGGAAUAGGGUGGGACUGGGGAUGUGUUCAUUUGCUACUGCCAAAAUCUUUUUUUCAAUAAAAGGAUAAAAAAGCUUUUAAUAAAUAAAUACAUUAAAACUUGAAUAAACUGGAAAUAUGGAAGGUUGGGGGGUAAAAGUUGCUUGAAUGUAAGUGCAAGUUUACAUUUUUUAUUUAUAUAUAUUAAUAAAAAAAAAUGACCCUGAAACAUUUCAAAUGGAGGCAAUACUGCUGACUUGUUAUAGCGAAUGGCACCACAGUCCCCUUCAGGGGAGUCCCAAACCCUGAGGGGUUUCAUUCUGACAACAACAAAAAAGCAUUUUAGUUUCUAAGUGUCUAACAGACUGUCUGUUCAGCCCAUAGAGACGGUUAGUGGACCCUUAUCUACAUAGAGAUGCCUUCACAUGCUGUUGCAGACGAUUUAAGGACGUAGGUGACGCAGAUGAGACCUACAGUGGGGAGAACAAGUAUUUGAUCCACUGCCGAUUUUGCAGGUUUUCCUACUUACAAACCAUGCAGAGGUCUGUAAUUUUGAUCAUAGGUACUCUUCAACUGUGAGAGAUGGAAUCUAAAACAAAAAUCCAGAAAAUCACUGUGUGUGAUUUCGUCACUCACAGUUGAAGAGCACCUAUGAUCUAAAUGACAGACUUCUACAUGCUUUGUAAGUGGGAAACACUGGCGACUUUGCAGGUUAUCAAAUGCUUGUUCUCCCCACUGCAUUUCCAUGGUUAAGCACAGUGGAGGCUCUGGUCAGUGUACUGCUCUAAAUGUGGAAUAGUGUGCCAAUUGAGAUGUGCAAACUGCUAAUUUUCUUGACAGUGAAUGUAUUUGUUGGUCAACGUGUACGAAUGCUGGUGACAAUAUGCUCUUGGCCGUUACGGUAUUGGCGGGGGGAGGGGGCGCUCCGUCAUACGGUGUCCUCAGGUAACGUGACAGGAAAACGUCCUGCAUAAGAAACAACCUCACGAAACGCAACAACAACCACCAAUUGAAUCUUUAAAGACUGGUUUCUUGAGACGAGUCUCGCUACUGGCAGAAUGUAGUUCUGUUUAAGCUGUUUUAAAAAAAAAGAAAACUACCAACUAACCUCAGAAUGAAGCAGUGUUCUUCAUUUCACGGCACAUGGGCCACAGGGGGCCUGGUGGAGGUCUGUGUGGCCCCUGGUGGAGGUCUGUGUGUCGGCCCUCACACUGAUGUCUAAUCAACCAAAGUGGCCCCUGGUGGAACAUCUGGGAAGAACACUGGUCUAAAGAGGGACACAAAUGUGGACUUUAGCACACCUGCUAAACUUUGUGACACAAAUGGCAGACUAUUCCCUGCAUAGGAAGUGCACUACUUUUUGUCCUUUCUCUAGUCAAAGGUAGUGCAGUUAGUGGGGAAUAGGGUGCCAUUUGUUGGGAAUAGGGUGCCAUUUGUCGGGAAUAGGGUGCCAUUUGUCGGGAAUAGGGUGCCAACGCAUGCACUGUUUUUGUUUUCCCUUUAUGCGCCUCGGAAAUGUUCAUUCUGGUCAAAAAACGAUUGUAAAGGCUGAGUUGUAUAUUUAAAAGCAUUGUAAACCAAUAAAAAUAUUUGGGAUUGGGUUAAUUAUGAGGUUCUUUGUGUUUUUGACAUAUUAUUGUUAUUCAUAUUAUUAUUGUUAUUAUAAUUGCCUUUUUAUGUGUAGUUUAUCUACCCACCCACCAUUUUACUUGGUUUAGAAGUGCUGUUUGUGUUAAACAAUGUCUGUCAUAUGACGUUGUCAUGUGAUAUGAGGGAAAUCCACUGAAGUGGUUUCUCAGCUGCAAUGCUUCUUAC
ensembl:lncRNA